CUCAAGCCCCCUUCGGGAACGGCUUGGUGUUGGGGACCGGCCCUUCCGCGGCCGCCCCCGAAAUGCAGUGGCGACCUCGCCGCAGCCUCCCCUGCGUAGUAGCACAACCUCGCACCGGAGCGCGGAGACGGUCACGCCGUAAAACGCCCAACUUUCUUAGAGUUGACCUCGGAUCAGGUAGGAAUACCCGCUGAACUUAA
rnacentral:misc_RNA from 1 species